UGUGGAUAAGGUGGAGACAGAGAACUCUGAAGGGAGCAAACACAGCCCGUGCAGAGACACUGAGGCUAGAUAAAGCCUGGUACCUUCAAAGAAUGCAAAGAUCCCUAAUGUGCCUUUUGACAGGUGGGAUUAGAACCCUUUCCAUGUUUCUUCAAACGAGGGGAGCCCUGGCCGUUUGUAAGCAAGGGCCCUUCCUGAUGAGACGUGUGUUUUGGAAGCGGUCUUCCUUUCUCUGUCUGCUCUGAGUCCUCUGGUGGACGGGGCAGAGCAGCAACAGAGGCUUGAGGGCCUGUCAGGCAGGUGAGGUUGUGGAGUGGAAGGCCUUUCCUUUGAGAGAUCUAAUCUGGAAGCACAUCAAUGUGAACUUGAGCCUGAACUGUCCUGGUGUUGACUCUGUUUUGUGUAACGUCUCUGGCUUUAGUGUUGCAAGCGUGGUUGUCAGUGUAGCUGCUUUGGCAUCCUCUGGAAGCCUGUUGGAAAUGUCCCAAGUCUUGGAUCCCCCUUUGUUUUAAUGAAUCAGAAAUUGCCUGUCAGGAAGAUUCUCAGGUUAUGUGAAUACUGGUGAAUUGAGUGACACUGCUUAAGGCAAAUGAUUCUCGACUUUGGUUGCAUGUUCGGUACUCUUGCUAACCUGAGGAGCUCUUGCUAUCUCGUUCCCACCAUCAGAGACCUAGAUAUAAUGUUCCCUGAAUCAAAGAGAUGCAGAUAUAGUAUUUCCCUGAAUGGAAUGAGUUUUUAACAGCUCUUCCAGCCACUUGUGAUGUACAGUGAUGUACCUAAGAAAGAAAGAUUGGACCUUGUAUUUUCAGAAAUAUCUGCCUUCCAUAAGGUAGGUGUUCUCAGGCUUUGGUGAGCAUGCGAAUCACCUGGAGGGCUUUUGAUGACACAGAUUUGGGCUCCAGCCUCCAAUGUUUGUGACUCAGUCAUUCUGGGGUCCCUAGUUUCAUUUUUCUCAAGUUACUACUCGAUGCUGGUGUGGGGAGUGCCCUUGGAGAAGCGGUGUUUCAGAGUGUAUGAUGAUUUUGGAUAGUUUGCAGUUAACAACCAUCUCCCAUAAGAGAAGCAUGAAAGAUGCAGUCUCGGGCUUCCUAGAUUUUGUUGCUUCCCCACUACCAUGUCAUAUUUUUAUCUUUCCUUUUUUGUUUGGUAUUUUCUUUGUAAUUUCUACAUCCUUAGCAUUCACUUGAAAUUAAGACACACAUGAAAAUUAAAAUAAUUUUAAUAUGUUACAUUUCCAUGUGCAAAUGCUCAGACAUAGCUCUAUCUGAAGUGAUAAAAAGUAGGUAGAGGUUUGCAUCACCUCCUCAAUGUUCCUGAGAGUCAUGAUUUUAAGAGUAUUUGUCAAGGAAAAGCUAUGUCGGAGGCUACAAAUAGGAAAGGAAUGUCUUUGCUGUCCUAACUGCAGUUCUGGAGACACGGUUUCCUAUAGCCUUAAACAAUUGUUCCAGGGAAAUGAAAAAGUCUGGAGCUUAUAAAGACAAGCAGCCAUGAGGUUAAAAGUUGCCUGGGUAGGAGUUCUGUUGUGGCUCAGCAGGUAAAGAACCCACCUUGCAGUCCAUGAGGACGUGGGUUCAAUCUCUGGCCUGGCUCAGUGGGUUAAGGAUCCAGUGUUGCGUUGAGCUGUGGUAUAGGUUGCAGAUGUGGCUUGGAUCCCACAUUGCUGUGGCCCUGGCAUAGGCUGGCAGCUACAGCUCUGAUUUGACCCCUCAGCCGGGAACCUCCAUAUACCUUGGUGUGCGGCCCUAAGAAGACCAAAAAAA
rnacentral:lncRNA from 9 species